GCCUCCUCUGCCCAGGCCUGGACACAUCUCAGUCCAGGAAGGGGUGAGGUGAGCCUGGGUGGUCAGAGCUGCAGCUGCACCUACUGGAGAGGCCUGGCCCAGCGCAGUCCCAUAGCGUCCCCAGGAUCCAGCCAGACCCAGAUUUCCCACCACAGAAAGAUGUGGUCUGAGGCUGCCUCUGUUUAGAGGCCAUCGCAGGUGCAGGGUCAGGCAGGGCCUGAAAGGGAGCGGCUGGGGACACUAUAUUUAAAAACGGUUCCUUCCUCUCCCAAGACCUGGGGCUGUCCUUGGGGGAACCACAGUUUCUGAGUUCCAGGCAAUGAUGAGUGUCACACUCAAGGGGGGUUGCUGGGGAGGGAGCAGCUUCAGCCCAGAUCCCCAGGGCAGGUGCUGCUCCAGCCCUGAAGGUGAGAGGAGCCAGGGUCAGGGGCAGCAGUGGACCAAGCCUCUCAACAAGGGAGAAGCUGCACUGGAUUGGGGCCUCCCAGGGGCUUCCCCUGUACCUGCAUCAAUGUUUCUUAGGGUGUCCACAUCCCAUUACUGCUCAGCACCUUGCCCGUCUCCCCGAGGAUCAGGAGCUGUCUGGGAUGCAGCCUUUGGCGCUUAGGGGACUCUCAGUGUUUGUGGGACACUGGGAUCUGAGCAUCAGUCCAUGGAGCCUGAGCUCACUAUGGCUCUAGUGAUCUCCAUGAGAUAACAUGAAGUCUUCCGUUCGUCUGUCUGUCUGUCUCUUGUAGCAUCCCACAACCAUGGCUGGCAGAUGCCAAGGGGAUGUGUGAGAUGGCCCAGCUCCAGGACAGGCAUGUGGCACCCAUGAAACUCAACUGGAGGGAAGUUGGGGAGAGCCUCACAGCGCUGGACAAGCCAUCGGAUGGCACUGCCCCAGGGACACACCCAGUGGCGGGGACCGGGAUAUGGAGGACCUAAGGCAAAGGGUGGCUUAAAACGUGACAGCGGAUCUGCCGCUGGGGAAAUGCAAGAGGGGAUUUGACAGCUGGGCCAGAUGUUCCAGGACAGCAGUUUCCAAAAGAUUUUCCAUCCAAACUUCCAGCAAGAAGUAGAUCUUCCACUGUAACCCAGAGCAUAUCUGCGCAUUCAGGUAACUGAAGCAACAUUCCGGGAACCGUCACCAUCCCUCCCGUGGAACAGCUCGCUCUCCAGCUGGAGUCAGCUCUAGGCGGCCUCACUUUAACAAAAGGUUAGCUGCAGCCAUUGGAAUGAAUUUCAUGUGCUCUAUGAGUUGCAGUGCAAAAUUCGAAUAGUGGCAGUUGAAGCUCAGUAUCAUCAAGGAUUCAUUUACUUUAUGGUGGUUAACAACAUUUUCCAAGCCACACUAACCAGGCCAGUUAGUAAUAAUAAUAAUGAUAAUCGGGCGGGCGCGAUGGCCCACGCCUGUAAUCCCCGCUCUUUGGGAGGCUGAGGUGGGCUGAUCGCCUGAGAUUAGGAGUUCGGGACCAGCCUGGUCGACAUGGUGAAAUGCCGUCUCUAUUAGAAACACAAAAAUGUAACAUGAUGGUGGGCACCUGUAGACCAGCUACCUGGGAGGCUGAAGCAGGAGAAUUGCUCAAACCCAGGAGGCAGAGGCCACAGCGAACUGAGAUAGCGCCACUGCACUCCAGCCUGGGCAGCAGAGUGAAAUUCCAUCUCAGAAAAAAAAAAAA
rnacentral:lncRNA from 1 species